AACGAACGCUGGCGGCAUGCCUAACACAUGCAAGUCGAACGAGACCUUCGGGUCUAGUGGCGCACGGGUGCGUAACGCGUGGGAAUCUGUCCUUGGGUUCGGGAUAACAGUUGGAAACGACUGCUAAUACCGGAUGAUGACUUCGGUCCAAAGAUUUAUCGCCCAGGGAUGAGCCCGCGUCGGAUUAGCUAGUUGGUGAGGUAAAGGCUUACCAAGGCGACGAUCCGUAGCUGGUCUGAGAGGAUGAUCAGCCACACUGGGACUGAGAAACGGCCCAGACUCCUACGGGAGGCAGCAGUGGGGAAUAUUGGACAAUGGGCGAAAGCCUGAUCCAGCAAUGCCGCGUGAGUGAUGAAGGCCUUAGGGUUGUAAAGCUCUUUUACCCGGGAUGAUAAUGACAGUACCGGGAGAAUAAGCCCCGGCUAACUCCGUGCCAGCCGCCGCCGUAA
rnacentral:rRNA from 1 species